AGAGUUUGAUCCUGGCUCAGGACGAACGCUGGCGGCGUGCCUAAUACAUGCAAGUCGAGCGAACUGAUAAGGAGCUUGCUCCUUUGACGUUAGCGGCGGACGGGUGAGUAACACGUGGGCAACCUACCUGUAAGACUGGGAUAACUUCGGGAAACCGGAGCUAAUACCGGAUGAAUCUUUUCUUCGCAUGAAGAAGAGAUAAAAGAUGGUUUCGGCUAUCGCUUACAGAUGGGCCCGCGGCGCAUUAGCUAGUUGGUGAGGUAAGAGCUCACCAAGGCAACGAUGCGUAGCCGACCUGAGAGGGUGAUCGGCCACACUGGGACUGAGACACGGCCCAGACUCCUACGGGAGGCAGCAGUAGGGAAUCUUCCGCAAUGGACGAAAGUCUGACGGAGCAACGCCGCGUGAGCGAUGAAGGUCUUCGGAUCGUAAAGCUCUGUUAUUAGGGAAGAACAAGUAUCGGAGUAACUGCCGGUACCUUGACGGUACCUAACCAGAAAGCCACGGCUAACUACGUGCCAGCAGCCGCGGUAAUACGUAGGUGGCAAGCGUUGUCCGGAAUUAUUGGGCGUAAAGCGCGCGCAGGCGGUCCUUUAAGUCUGAUGUGAAAGCCCACGGCUCAACCGUGGAGGGUCAUUGGAAACUGGAGGACUUGAGUGCAGAAGAGGAGAGUGGAAUUCCACGUGUAGCGGUGAAAUGCGUAGAGAUGUGGAGGAACACCAGUGGCGAAGGCGACUCUCUGGUCUGUAACUGACGCUGAGGCGCGAAAGCGUGGGUAGCGAACAGGAUUAGAUACCCUGGUAGUCCACGCCGUAAACGAUGAGUGCUAAGUGUUAGGGGGUUUCCGCCCCUUA
rnacentral:rRNA from 1 species